rnacentral:rRNA from 1 species
UACGGGGGGGGGCAAGCAUUAUUCGGAAUAAUUGGGCGUAAAGGGCUUUUAGAUGGUAUUUAAUAUAAAAGGUUCAAGCUUUUUGUAACAAAAAAGAAAGCUUUUUAAAUCAUUAUACUUGAGUUUAAAUGAAGUUAGUAGAAUUUUUAGAGUAGGGGUGGUAUCCGUAAAGUUUAAAAGGAAUAUCAGAGGCGAAGGCGACUUUCUAAUUUAAGACUGACAUUUAUAAGCGAAAGCAUGGGGAUCAAAAAGGAUUAGAUACCCUUGUAGUCCAUGCUGUAAAACCUGAGUGCUAAUUUUUUAUACCAAAAGGUAUGGGAGAAUAAAGUUAACACGUUAAGCACUCCGCCUGGGAAGUACGAUCGCAAGAUUAAAACUCAAAGGAAUUGGCGGGAGCUCAAACAAGUGGUGGAGCAUGUGGUUUAAUGCGAUAAUCCGCGCAAAACCUUACCAGUUUUUGAAUAUAAAUUCAAAUCUUUUAAAAAGGUUUAUUUUUUAUACAGGUGUUGCAUGGCUGUCGUUAGUUCGUGUUUUGAAACGUUAGGUUAAGUCCUUUAAACGAACGUAACCCCUAUUUUUAAUUAAAAUUUAUUAAAAAAAACUUUUUUUGAAAAAAAAAGGAAGAAAGGGAUGAUGUCAAGUCCUCAUGGCCCUUAUAAACUGGGCUACACACGUGCUACAAAGGUAAUUACAAAGAGUUGCAAAAAUGAAAGUUUUAGCCAAUCUUAAAAGAUUAUCGUAGUUCGGAUUAUAGACUGCAAUUCGUCUAUAUGAAGUUGGAAUCACUAGUAAUCGUGAAUCAGCACGUCACGGUGAAUAUGUACCUGAGCUU